GCUGGUGAACGGUAGAAUGACCUGGAAUAAAACCUGAUUGAAAUUUGUAUAAUAACUUGUUUGCUAUUAAGUGAUUAAAUACAUUUUUAAACACAAUUCUUUCAAAAACUUUACCCACUGCUGAUAAUAAUGAGAUUGGUCUAUAAUUGGAAAUCAGUGAUUUGUCUCCGGUUUUGAAUAACGGCAUGACAAUAGCUGUUUUCCAUUGACUAGGAAACUCUGCCUUUUCAAAUGACAAAUUAAAUAACAAUGAUAAGGGUACACUGACAGUAUAACUUGUCUUUUUUAACAUUUGAUGACUAAUUGAGUCAUUACCUGAUGCUUUUCCCAAUUUUAAAGUCUGCA
rnacentral:lncRNA from 1 species